CAAGGCAGAGGCUACAGGAAACAGGAAGGAGGCCUGGAUUGAACAGGCCUAGUGGCCUGGCUCAGCAUCCCUGGAACAACCAGCUGCACAAGGCUGCCUCAAAACCAGCUGCUUCCCUGGCCUUCAUCCUCUGUAUCCUCAGCACGGAUGAACCCGCUGUCUCCAUCACCUGUGCACUUGCUCCCACGAUACAGCACCUGAACAAAUUUCAGAAGUCUGUGCCACCUGGGUCUGUUCGUACAGGGAAUAAUAUUCAUUCUACACACAGAUUAAUCCAAUGCUUUUUGUAUGGGCGAUGCUGGUCUAUUUUUGUAUGAAAACAUUGAAACUGGGCACAAACUCCAUCAACAAUGGAUAUCUUGUAUUCAAGAUUGACUUUGAACUUGCUAUUUGGUGGAGGAAAGCCUUGGACUUCUGGAUGCUAGAAUGACUGGCAUGUCUCACCGUGCAUGGUUUUGUGCAAGUUGAGGAUUGACUCCAGGGCUUUGUACAUGCUAGCAAGUACUCUACCAAGUUAUAUCCCCAGCUCAACUAGUCAAUUAUUUAUUAAAUGGUCCAUUAAAUAUAAGAUUAUCAACUCUAUUUUGUAAAUAAAACAAGAUACUG